ensembl:snRNA U2 U2 spliceosomal RNA
AUUGCUUCUCAGCCUUUUGGCUAAGAUCAAGUGUAGUAUUUGUUCUUAUCAGUUGAAAAGUAAACUGGUAGUUUGUGAAAAGGCAGCAGCAGUUCAUUAAACAACAAAA